GAUGAACGCUAGCUACAGGCUUAACACAUGCAAGUCGAGGGGCAGCAUGGUCUUAGCUUGCUAAGGCCGAUGGCGACCGGCGCACGGGUGAGUAACACGUAUCCAACCUGCCGUCUACUCUUGGACAGCCUUCUGAAAGGAAGAUUAAUACAAGAUGGCAUCAUGAGUUCACAUGUUCACAUGAUUAAAGGUAUUCCGGUAGACGAUGGGGAUGCGUUCCAUUAGAUAGUAGGCGGGGUAACGGCCCACCUAGUCUUCGAUGGAUAGGGGUUCUGAGAGGAAGGUCCCCCACAUUGGAACUGAGACACGGUCCAAACUCCUACGGGAGGCAGCAGUGAGGAAUAUUGGUCAAUGGGCGAGAGCCUGAACCAGCCAAGUAGCGUGAAGGAUGACUGCCCUAUGGGUUGGAAACUUCUUUUAUAAAGGAAUAAAGUCGGGUAUGUAUACCCGUUUGCAUGUACUUUAUGAAUAAGGAUCGGCUAACUCCGU
rnacentral:rRNA from 1 species